rnacentral:rRNA from 1 species
CCUACGGGAGGCAGCAGUGGGGAAUAUUGGGCAAUGGGCGCAAGCCUGACCCAGCAACGCCGCGUGAAGGAAGAAGGCUUUCGGGUUGUAAACUUCUUUUAAGAGGGAAGAGCAGAAGACGGUACCUCUUGAAUAAGCCACGGCUAACUACGUGCCAGCAGCCGCGGUAAUACGUAGGUGGCAAGCGUUGUCCGGAUUUACUGGGUGUAAAGGGCGUGCAGCCGGGAAGACAAGUCAGAUGUGAAAUCCCGGGGCUCAACCGCGGAACUGCAUCUGAAACUGUUGUUCUUGAGUACCGGGGAGGUCAGCGGAAUUACUUGUGUAGCGGUGAAAUGCUUAGAUAUCACGAAGAACCCCGAUUGCGAAGGCAGCCUGCCGAAGCGUUACUGACGCUGAAGCACGAAAGCGCGGGUAUCGAACAGGAUUAGAUACCCGAGUAGUC